AAGAGGUGCUACGAGCACCAAGAACUGCUAAUUCUUAUUACUGAAGUUAAAGUCCUCAGACCUCUUA
rnacentral:tRNA from 1 species